UCUUCAUUCCACACACUCUUUCGCGGGUCAGAGAGGCGAGAGAGUGUGUGAAAUGAAGACC
rnacentral:pre_miRNA from 1 species